rnacentral:rRNA from 1 species
UACGUAGGGUGCGAGCGUUGUCCGGAAUUAUUGGGCGUAAAGGGCGCGUAGGCGGUUUGUCGCGUCGGGAGUGAAAACCAUGGGCUUAACUCAUGGCUUGCUUUCGAUACGGGCAGACUAGAGGUAUGCAGGGGAGAACGGAAUUCCUGGUGUAGCGGUGAAAUGCGCAGAUAUCAGGAGGAACACCGGUGGCGAAGGCGGUUCUCUGGGCAUGACCUGACGCUGAGGAGCGAAAGUGUGGGGAGCGAACAGG